CACGAACAAACCGCGUACACUACAGAGUGGUAGGGGGCGGUGUUCUUAAGAGUCUAUCGUGAAGCCCCGCAGACUGCAGGAACCUUAAUAACGAAAGCUGCGGUGCUGCUGACAUUAGAACUGCAAUUCUAGUGAGGCCACUGGACCAAAAUCUUAUCAGGUUCUAUAAUUGGUUUCGAAUCUGUUUCCUCAGCACACCAGCCCGAUGCGCUGACUAUUCGACCAUGGAGUACCAAAUGACCCAGGCAAGCGGGGAAAACGGUUGGACAGAAGCAUACAAACAUACACUGAUAGUCCUCGGAAAAUGCGUCACGUAUGCAAAGAAUGUUCAUAUUUCUCUAAUGGGCAAGUUUCACUAGGUAUGUGUUACUAGGGCCAGUGAGCAUGUGUCGCCGUUCAAUGAACUUUUUUGAAAUAAGUGCCACUAUGAGUAUGUACCACUGUGCAUAUAUGUGGCGCUCUUCAAUGAACCUGUGGAGACGACAUGGCCUGUUGGACUGCCUUCACUUUAUUGACGGCUUUGCGAGCCAGGGCAUGGCGCCAGAGAAGGAAUGGGGAACACGGUACCUGUGUUGCGGCCGCACCGUUGUUGUUGUUGUUUUCCCUCUGCACAAG